AUUGAACGCUGGCGGCAUGCCUUACACAUGCAAGUCGAACGGCAGCGCGUCCUUCGGGAUGGCGGCGAGUGGCGAACGGGUGAGUAAUACAUCGGAACGUGCCCGAGAGUGGGGGAUAACGCAGCGAAAGCUGUGCUAAUACCGCAUACGAUCUCAGGAUGAAAGCAGGGGACCGCAAGGCCUUGCGCUCACGGAGCGGCCGAUGGCAGAUUAGGUAGUUGGUGGGAUAAAAGCUUACCAAGCCGACGAUCUGUAGCUGGUCUGAGAGGACGACCAGCCACACUGGGACUGAGACACGGCCCAGACUCCUACGGGAGGCAGCAGUGGGGAAUUUUGGACAAUGGGGGCAACCCUGAUCCAGCCAUGCCGCGUGAGUGAAGAAGGCCUUCGGGUUGUAAAGCUCUUUCAGACGGAAAGAAAACGCAUCGGUGAAUACCCGGUGUGGAUGACGGUACCGUAAGAAGAAGCACCGGCUAACUACGUG
rnacentral:rRNA from 1 species